rnacentral:lncRNA from 1 species
GUUCCCAGGCUAGGAAUCAAAUCGGAGCUGCAGCUGCCAGCCAACACCAUAGUCACAGCAAUGCGGGAUCCGAGCCAUGUCUGCAACCUACACCACAGCUCACAGCAAUGCUGGAUCCUUAACCCACUGAGCAAGACCAGGGAUCGAACCCACAUCCUCAUGGAUACUAGUCACGUUCCUUAGCUGCUGAGCCACCAGGGGAACUCCCUCAGUGCUGUUUAAAUGCCUCCCUUCCGCCUGCUCAUCCCCUCAAGCCUGGCAGCUUUGCCUGAACAGGAACUUGACUUCCUGCCUUGGCUGGAACUGGGUCUCUGUGGGGAGAUGGGGGGGGGGCAUCAGGUGUUUGAGGUAAGUUUCCAAAUCCUCACUUUCCUGUGCCUGUUGACUGUAGCAGCUGGGGAAGGGUGAGCUCAGGAGGUUCAGUGCUCCCAGCUCACCUGGAGCAUCACUAAGUGUCUCUGGGGCUGACCCCUAGCAUGAGCGGACCAGGAGAUUGGAACAAGGAGCUUCUUCCUACUGGCCAUGGAGAGAGAAGGAAAGAGCAUUUACUCAGAACUUGCUCUGUGGCCAGCGUCUCACAAGGUGCUUCUUAUGUGUGCACCCGGGUUAAUGCAUCCUUAUUAUACCUUAUGAGGCAGAUAUUUGAAAUUUCCCUGUUCUACAAAUACAAACAGAGAGGCUCACGCAGGUGAGUGACUUAGCCUAAGGUUUCACAGAUGGAAAAUAUGAGGGCUGGGUCUCACCUACAGGUCUACUGGCCCCAGAGCCUGGGCUUGAACGUUCAUGGUCUCAGUUUUCCACCGUAAAAUGGGAAUCACUGACUCCCUGCUAAUGUGUAAGUGGUUUGUAAAGAUAGUACAGCUAAGUUUGAAAGAAGAGAAAUGAAUGGAGACCAGGGUAUUCUUUUUUUCCCAUCUGCACUCAGAUUCGUCCUUCCCCAGGCUUCCUAAAAAGCUAAUGAGGUCAUUACCAGUGCCAAGUAGCUCUUGUCCUGGUACCCAAUCAACAAGAUGUCUAAGGUCAGCCAUCUGGAGUCCUUCGGGUGCAGACGGAGAGAUGAGAGGUGGGGCUGCUUCUCCAGGCCGAUGCCAGGGUCCAUCUCUGUUCAGAUGGCAUGAUGACCCCAUGUGAGGUCUUGGGCAUCCCAGGGUCCAGCUGCAUCCACAGAGAUGCAAUCUUAGUGUUUAUCCUUCUCACCUGUCCACGUUUUCUUCCUCUUCCCAGCCAGCCUCCUGGCAGGGGGGGGGGCAUCCCCGAUCCCACAGUGAGAAAUACGCUUCAAACAGACCCAGAUCUGGGACUGAGUAGGCCCUUAAUACGUGUGUUGAAUGAAUGAACGUGUGAAAACUCACUUGGGCUGCCUGAGUCCCAAUUUCCGGAAAUACGUACCCUUGACGUUUGGGGCCAUGACUCAGGUGGGUGGCAGUGGGAGCUACGCAGAGCAUGAGGUUUCUGUGAACCUGAGAUCAAGGAACUGUCUCUUCCCCAAAGGCUGGGGGAGGGGAGGCCAGGAAACCCGAGACGGGAGUGUGACCUGGGCACACAGGCCAGUACCAGGGAAGAAAGGGAGGGGCCGGGGAAGGAAAAGGGCAGGGACCUGUGAAGUCUCAUGUGGCGCCACUGGCUGCAACUACAGAGCCCUCGGGAACAGAAGGCACGGACCAGCUCUACUCAGACACCCACUCAGGGGCCGGAGAGUGUCUGGCCAUGGCAGACUGGCACUGGAGUUUUUGAACAUGAAACUCUUCUUUGACCAGCACUCAGGAGUGCAGACCACUUUGAGAGGCUCUGAAUCCUCCUCUUCCUGCUCCCAUCCCUCCCUGGCCUUUCCUUUUGACCCUUCCAGAAGAGCAGUAUUUCAGUUUUCUAUGACAAACCAUCAGCCAACGGCAGGGAACGGGACAGACAGGCCACCUUCCUAAUUCUACCUAAAUUCUCUACCUUAAUUACCAAGACAAAUAUUUCAGGAGACUGCACUUGGCUGGAAUGGUUGGGUAAUUCAUUUUAUUUACCAUUGAAACACACCUGAGAGCUGAGAUCGAUUCAUUCAGGUGGCCGCUUCUUAGUCAGAGGCAAUUCACAGCAGAAAUCGCGCCAUCCGAAGCUUCCAUAACUUCCCAAGGGUAAUGGAUUUUUUUGUUUCAGCCCAUCUUUCUUCCCGGCUCAUAUUUGCUUGAGGAUUCCAAAUGGAUUCUAUUUACUGUAAUUACUGUUCUAACUGCAGCUCACUUGCAAAGCAUCAGGUUAAUGUUAAUAAGAUACCCAGCUGAUCCUGGUAAUGUGUAUUCAUUGUUCAAACUCUUUAUCUACCCCCCUUUGGGGUUGUCUCAAUUCUAUUUUCUGAACCCAAAGGGGAGGAAGCAAAGCCAAGAAACACGGGUGUUUUUUUCUGUUUCAUUCUUCUCUCGUGCCGUGGGCUUUUUCUCAAUGGAUAGCCAUUGUUCUUGGGUUUUCCUGCCCCGGUAUUUACAUGGCAUUUUUACAAAUGUAUGCUUUGCUGAAAUACUGGUUUACAUGCUUACCCUCUUAAUUUUUUUCAUGUUGUUAGUGUCAUUCAAUUUCCUAUUAUUAUUACUGUUUGAUUGUUGACAAUAAGAAUUAGCAUCAAGGAAGGUCCCAACAAAUUCAAAGACACGCAUCUCCUCUGUAUUUCUAUCAUAAAGCAAUGAGAUAAUGGCCCAGUGCAUCAAGAGUCUCUCUCUCUCAAUUAUUGAGUAGGGCUAUAUUCAGAAUGUGGAUCUAUGGAAAAAGCACAUUUCAACAGAGAAAACUAGGCUUCAAAAUCUAGUUUCACCUCUUAUCAGCUACAUGAGUUUAAGUGAACCUAUCUCUCUCUCCUUGAAUUUCCUCAUCUGUAAAAGAACAAAACGAAUCAUGUAUUGUUGGGAGGCUCCCCGCAAACGCUUAAGUGAUAUCUGUUAUCAUUUUACCAUAUCAAUAAUUUCAAUCAUGCAGUUGGAUCUUAGGACCACAGCACACACAGGUACAACCGUAUUUUAAUGGGGUGUAUUUAGGACUUCCAACUGGAUUUACAGAGAGCUGGAAGGAUUACAGCGAUGAAACUCUUACGACUCAAAGGAUGGUUCACAAACCAGCAGCAUCAGCAUCACCUGAGAGCUAUUGAAAUGGAGACUCUUAGUUCCCUCCCCAAGAAAAAAAAUUAGAACUCACGUCAUUGAUAGAAGAAAAAGAGAUCAUCCCUAGAAAGUAGCCUGACGUCUUGGUUUCAAUCCAAGAUCUUGGGAGAUGCCAAGAGGAGACAUUCCCAAGGAAAACCGUGAAGCUGUUUCUGACCUGUUUCAUUAUGAAAGCAGCUGCGACCCACCCCACCGCAGACAACAUUUUCCCCUCCUCCCAAGAGCAAUGACCGUUCAGCAUAAUGGAAACGAAUACCAUUUGUUGAUUCAGGGAGAUAUGAGUCUGGGACUCACCGCUUUGAUGUAAGUCGAGCAGUUGCCCUCAAACCCUGGGUAAGCCUCUUCCUUUCCACCCAGGUCACCUCAUCUGUAAGGUGAGGAUAAAAAUAUCUAUCUCCAGGUGGUUGGAGAGUGAAUGCAGACAGAUGCCAAUUAGGAGGUCUGGACACUUAGAGCUGUAACAGCAGAAGCUGCUGCCGCUGCCUUUACCACCACCUCUGCAAGAGAAGCCACCACUUCCCUCUUUGCAAAGCCAAAUUCUUAGAGUCACUCACCUCCUGUCAUUAGGGAGAGGCCAAGAAGAACUAGAGCUGGAAUAAAAAAAAAAAUCAGCUUCCCUUCCUGUCUCCUGGUAACUUUCUUGGGAAAGCUUCUUAACCAUUGGCGGUAUCCCUUUCCUCAUCUGUAAAAUGGACAUAAUCCCAUUUCCUCAGACUGCCUCUGGGCUGGAGUGAAGAGCUCAUAAGAUAAAGCAUCCGAAAGUGAUUUGCAACCAUACAACCACACCAUGCCAGCUGAACAAAUGAAAAACAUCUCUGUAAUCGCUGCUUCCUCCUAGACCCCAAGCCCUGGUCUCACGAUUUUCCUUGUCUACUCUCUCUCAUCUAUUUUUCUCCCUUUCCCACCAAAUCACCUGCCUUGGCAGGGGCUUCCACUACUGCACAGGUUCCCUGGAAGCUCCGUCCGGAGUCCUACGUUCUUCCCUCUUCAGACAAAUGUACCCAUCACUGGGGAUGAACCUUUCUUAGGGACUGCACUUUCUCUUCCAAAAUGAGAGGUGGCGUUAUUCAAGAGAUGGGGGUGGGUGGCUGAUUGAGCCUCCAUUAACUCCGUUAGUUCCAACUACGCAUGGCCAGCUAUGCCAGUGAACUUCCAGGGGGGUCCUGCAGCCACCUGUCCCACCCUGACGCCAGCCCCCCUACACUGGUGCUUCUCCUCUGAUCCUACAGAGAGUCUAGAGCUGCCUUGUACCAAACCCUCAUGGCUUCCCCUCCAUCUCUGAAUAACCCUGCUUUACCUCUGUCUGAGGGCAAGUCUAUAAGGCUGACUUUGACUCAUCUCUUCCCCCUCAGUGAAUUCGAAGAUAAUGAAAGGGACCAAGGUGACCGACUGACUUUAGGGCCAGGUUUUUUGUCACCACUAAAGGAGACAUAGGGCUUGGUCCCCAAAGAGGACCUCACUCUGCUGGCAGGCGGGGCUGCCGACAGCCACGCGUCCCAGGCAUCUGGGUGACCUUCGGCAAGUGGCUUCUCUGCACCUCAGCUCCUGGGGCCCUGAGCUUCUCUCAGCCUCUGUUUCCUUGUCUAUAAAAAGAGGAACUUAUUUUAGGGUUGGUAUGAGGCUUGAAUGAGGUAAAAUAUGUGAAAAGAAGCUGGGAGAAUGUGGCAUAUAUCAGAUGUUUAUUGCUAGUCCCUCACUUUCCUUGAGAGACAUCAAGGGGCC